rnacentral:rRNA from 1 species
UGGCGACCGGCGCACGGGUGCGUAACGCGUAUGUAACCUACCUAUAACAGGGGCAUAACACUGAGAAAUUGGUACUAAUUCCCCAUAAUAUUCGGAGAGGCAUCUCUCCGGGUUGAAAACUCCGGUGGUUAUAGAUGGACAUGCGUUGUAUUAGCUAGUUGGUGAGGUAACGGCUCACCAAGGCGACGAUACAUAGGGGGACUGAGAGGUUAACCCCCCACACUGGUACUGAGACACGGCCCAGACUCCUACGGGAGGCAGCAUG